UUUAAAUUGUAGCUGGCGGGUGUGAGUGGUAGGCUACGCAGCUGUGUUUGGGCCUACAGGAUUUUAUCUGAGAUUUGGUUUCAUUCAUAAACUUAAAUUGGCGCCCGUUUCAUGACGGAAGAAAGAACUAUCAUAUAUUGUUUGCAUUCCUUGGUGAGCGCAGCGAGUUUUCACGGUGCUAAGGUGACGAUGAUGGAUUAAAAGUUGAACGUAUGCUGUUUUGGCGAACUAAUUAAAGAACACCUUAUGCAUCAGUCGAGACUCUUUUGGAUCCAAGGGCUGCUGCAGUGAAAAUUCGACGCUACAUCUUGAGUCAUCUGCUUUGCUGCACGUCGUCUUCGUUCCGGAGGUUGCCAUCGUUUGUUCCACGCAUCCAGGCAAGGUCGUAAAUUGGUAGCGUUUAACAGAGACUAGGCCUACAGAUGUGGUGAGAGACUCUUGGUACCUUAUCAGGAUAU